rnacentral:rRNA from 1 species
UACAGAGGUGGCAAGCGUUGUUCGGAAUUACUGGGCGUAAAGGGCGCGUAGGCGGCUUGGUCAGUCCCGUGUGAAAUCCCUCGGCUCAACUGAGGAACUGCCUUUGAAACUGCCUGGCUUGAGGCCGGGAGGGGGUAGCGGAAUUCCCAGUGUAGCGGUGAAAUGCGUAGAUAUUGGGAGGAACACCAGUGGCGAAGGCGGCUACCUGGACCGGUUCUGACGCUGAUGCGCGAAAGCGUGGGUAGCAAACAGG